rnacentral:misc_RNA from 1 species
UCCUUCUUGUUAUAGCUAUGGCCUUCAACCCAUUUAUGAUCAAGCUGGUUAUGACUGCAUGGAGAUGCCCACCAUGAAUCAUCAUUUAGAGCCGGCUGCGGAGGAACCACCACUUCUUUAGCCCAUACCUGCUUUUGAGAAUGAUAGCUUGGAAUUUAACAUGCAACCUUGCUCUUCAGGGCCCGACUACACCUGCUGGAAAGCCUCAUGAUCAUAUUUCAGUGCCGAGGAGAAGAUACCGUCCCCUUAUCAUAUUCUAAAAGAUUUUGUGACCUCAUUU